rnacentral:rRNA from 1 species
GUAGAGAUGGCGACCGGCGCACGGGUGAGUAACACGUAUCCAACCUGCCGAUAACUCGGGGAUAGCCUUUCGAAAGAAAGAUUAAUACCGGAUAGUAUACGAAUAUCGCAUGAUAUUUUUAUUAAAGAAUUUCGGUUAUCGAUGGGGAUGCGUUCCAUUAGUUUGUUGGCGGGGUAACGGCCCACCAAGACUACGAUGGAUAGGGGUUCUGAGAGGAAGGUCCCCCACAUUGGAACUGAGACACGGUCCAAACUCCUACGGGAGGCAGCAGUGAGGAAUAUUGGUCAAUGGACGAGAGUCUGAACCAGCCAAGUAGCGUGAAGGAUGACUGCCCUAUGGGUUGUAAACUUCUUUUAUAUGGGAAUAAAGUAUUCCACGUGUGGAAUUUUGUAUGUACCAUAUGAAUAAGGAUCGGCUAACUCCGUGCCAGCAGCCGCGGUAAUACGGAGGAUCCGAGCGUUAUCCGGAUUUAUUGGGUUUAAAGGGAGCGUAGGUGGAUUGUUAAGUCAGUUGUGAAAGUUUGCGGCUCAACCGUAAAAUUGCAGUUGAAACUGGCAGUCUUGAGUACAGUAGAGGUGGGCGGAA